rnacentral:rRNA from 1 species
AGUGGCGGACGGGUGAGUAACGCGUGGGAACAUACCCAAAGGUACGGAAUAGCCUCGGGAAACUGAGAGUAAUACCGUAUGUGCCCCCCCAAUCAAAUUUCAUUUGAUUGAAACUUUCAAUCUAUCAAAUCUCGAAUGAGAUUUGAUGGGGGGGGAAAGAUUUAUCGCCUUUGGAUUGGCCCGCGUUGGAUUAGGUAGUUGGUGGGGUAAUGGCCUACCAAGCCGACGAUCCAUAGCUGGUUUGAGAGGAUGAUCAGCCACACUGGGACUGAGACACGGCCCAGACUCCUACGGGAGGCAGCAGUGGGGAAUCUUAGACAAUGGGGGAAACCCUGAUCUAGCCAUGCCGCGUGAUCGAUGAAGGCCUUAGGGUUGUAAAGAUCUUUCAGAUGGGAAGAUAAUGACGGUACCAUCAGAAGAAGCCCCGGCUAACUCCGUGCCAGCAGCCGCGGUAAUACGGAGGGGGCUAGCGUUAUUCGGAAUUACUGGGCGUAAAGCGCACGUAGGCGGAUCAGAAAGUCAGAGGUGAAAUCCCAGGGCUCAACCUUGGAACUGCCUUUGAAACUCCUGGUCUUGAGGUCGAGAGAGGUGAGUGGAAUUCCGAGUGUAGAGGUGAAAUUCGUAGAUAU